CCUCACCUCAAUAUUUUCGUCUGCACGAUUUUUGUGAAUCUACGUCAUACCGGAAGUGAAACUUACAUACACUCUUGACAUUGUGACUUGUGAAGGAAUGACCAGUGGGAACGCAUCUUGACCAGUUUCCAGUGUUAAAUACAGAUAGAUAUUAUAGCAUCGUUAAGGAGAACGAAGAAAAGGAUUCACAAGAAAUGAAACAUUUGGCAAAUUGCCCCAGAACUGGAAAGGCAUGAAAGGCUAAACAUGCUAAAGGAGUAAAAUGAAGUUCACAAGAAAUAAGAAUUCAGACAUGUGCUGCAGCUAGAAACACUGAAACAGAUAUAUGACAUGUGUACAUGGUGGGAAAUAUUUUGCAUAUAAAAUUUAGAGAAUGAAUCAAUUGGGAUAGAACAUAUAUCUUAUUUACUAGAAAGUGUUUCCUGGCAUUCCUGAGGAACUUGAAGGCUGUUUGUUUAAGAUAAGAAAACAACUUCAGCAUGCAAGAAAGAAGAUCCAUGUGUCCAUAGUUUGGAAUCAAAUAUUUAACAUUAAUUUAAUUCAUUUUUGUUGCUUAUACAAUUCUAUUUAUUUGAAAAU